rnacentral:lncRNA from 1 species
GUGCGUCAUUUCCGGGAGAGCGUGGGGUUUCGCUCUCCGGGGCAGUGGCUGCUGUCAGAAUCCCUUCUUUGAGGAGGCACCUGCUCUUCCGCUUUUCUCCAGCUUUCCAUGAGCUGUGGGGAGUAGCUUGGGUGUCCUCUCACUCUUACUAGAUAGAAAUCAAGAAAGCGCCUUGAGGCGAGAGAAGAGUCCCGUCAGGAGGCCCAGUGGGGUCCUCCACACUCCACGGUCCCCGCCUCCGGGAAGGCCGCGCGUGGCAUGGGCAGAGCGCGGAAUCCUGGCUCCACUGCCCACCUGCCCGUUGACUUUAGGCGACGCCAACCCCAGGCUGGUGAGGAGUCCCUGAAAUAUAAGGCACGGGAGCCACCCGGAGCCACCCGACCUGCCACGUUAAGCAGCAUGAGGGACCGAAAGAUGAGUCUGGGCCAGUCUCUUAGGAGCUUCUGGUCUCGCAGAGAGGCGGGAGAUUACUCCGAAAGCACAGCGGCAACAGACUAUAAAUUCCCCAAGAGAAGUUUCCAAGAGCAAAAGCAGCUGAAGAACUGUGAACUAGAUUCAGGUGCUUUUCCUUUCACUUACAGCAAAUGAGACAAUACUGAAAAACAGUAAAAGCAAACACCAGAAAGAAGUCUACAGAACACAUAAAACAAUGUGGAUGGUUUUGCCUUAAUUACCUAACACUCUAAAAAUAAAAAGGCUCGGUACAGACA